rnacentral:lncRNA from 1 species
GGAAAUCUCGUUAGGAAUCUCUUCAACAUCAUCUUCCUCUGCCUCGAAUACAGGGAAUUCAAAAUUGGGAGAUGGCGUUGGAUCAUUAUGUUCAAUGGGUUUGAUUAACAACCUGCAUAAUGAUUUUGAUAUAAAAAGCUUUUUAGAAAAUAAACAAGACAAUCAUUAUGCAGAUGAAAAGAUUGCUUUUAUUCUUGUUUUUA